rnacentral:rRNA from 1 species
GACGAACGCUGGCGGCGUGCUUAACACAUGCAAGUCGAACGGAAAGGCCCUGCUUGCAGGGUGCUCGAGUGGCGAACGGGUGAGUAACACGUGGGUGAUCUGCCCCUUACUUUGGGAUAAGCCUGGGAAACUGGGUCUAAUACUGGAUAGGACCAUGCUGUAGGUGGUGUGGUGGAAAGAUUAGUUUCGGUAAGGGAUGAGCUCGCGGCCUAUCAGCUUGUUGGUGGGGUAAUGGCCUACCAAGGCGUCGACGGGUAGCCGGCCUGAGAGGGUGGACGGCCACAUUGGGACGGCGAUACGGCCCAGACUCCUACGGGAGGCAGCAGUGGGGAAUAUUGCACAAUGGGCGCAAGCCUGAUGCAGCGACGCCGCGUGGGGGAUGACGGCCUUCGGGUUGUAAACUCCUUUCAGCCAUGACGAAGCCUUCGGGUGACGGUAGUGGUAGAAGAAGCACCGGCUAACUACGUG